CUGACUAUACGAUUUUGUAAACACCCCUUCUCGUCCGAUCACCAAAGCUAAGCAACUUAGGGUCCGAUAAGCACUUACAGGAGGCAAAAGAUAAUGGCCUCAUCU